rnacentral:rRNA from 1 species
GACGAACGCUGGCGGCGUGCUUAACACAUGCAAGUCGAACGGAAAGGCCCUGCUUUUGUGGGGUGCUCGAGUGGCGAACGGGUGAGUAACACGUGAGUAACCUGCCCUUGACUUUGGGAUAACUUCAGGAAACUGGGGCUAAUACCGGAUAGGAGCUCCUGCUGCAUGGUGGGGGUUGGAAAGUUUCGGCGGUUGGGGAUGGACUCGCGGCUUAUCAGCUUGUUGGUGGGGUAGUGGCUUACCAAGGCUUUGACGGGUAGCCGGCCUGAGAGGGUGACCGGGGAGGGUGGGGGGGGGGUGCGGCCGAGAUGCAGAGGGGCGGGGGGGGUGGGAAGUAGUGGACAGUGGGCGGGAGCCGGAGGCAGCAACGCGGCGGGGGGGUGGGCGGGCGUGGGGUUGUAACCCGGUGGGGCGUGGGAGGAAGGGUGAGUGACGGUGAGGGUUAAAGAACCGCCGGCUAACUAAGUGCCAGCGGCCGCGAUAAGAGUAGGACGAGCAAAGGGCUGAAC